GCGCCUGUAGCUCAGUUGGAUAGAGCACUUGCCUCCGGAGCAAGGGGCCGUGGGUUCAAAUCCCGCCGGGCGCGCCA
rnacentral:tRNA from 1 species